rnacentral:lncRNA from 1 species
GCAAGUAUAUUACUUGAUUCUACUUUAUAUCAUUAACCAUUCUUUACUUGUAGCCGUUGUUUUCUUUAUUAGCUAUUAACGUUCAUUAGCUAUUCUUUAUUCUUUACUCUUUGUCUUAUUAUGCUCACUGGCGAUUCUUUCCUAAGGUUAUUUUACCUUAGCCAUCUAUGCCACUCGACUCGGUCUCGAGUCAAUCAACUGCGGAUAGUCCGCACUCUGUCCGGCUCAAGGUGAAGGACCUCUCACUUACACCUCAGCCUUCAGUCCACAAACAUCUCGCCAACGGGUCGCCCAGAGCUGCAUACACCCGUGGUCAGGGAUCUUUCUGGUGGGAAGGGGAUUAUGCCACAAACUCAACCCGCGGCCCAGGACCCCGGAUAGGGAAGGGGACAUGCCAUACUCAACCCUAGCGAAGCACGAUUCUGCCGACGGGAGGGGGAACCUGCCACACUCGACCCGCGGCCUCGAAUCAGCCUCAAGCUCAUCCUCGAAGUUCGUCCAGUGGGAGGGGAACCUGUCACACUCAACCCACUGCUCUAGAACUGUCGAGUUCACAAUCCUAAGAUUCCGGAAUCUAUUUCCCAAGCCUCUAGGGUAAUCUCAAACCCUAUGAUAUCGACCUAUCUAGGUCCAAUGCACUUUCUGUCCUAGGUCUAGCUGACUCUAGGUUUAAUGCCCUUUUUCACAUAACCUAUGUUCUUUAAACUAGGUUAAGCCUCUCUACCUAGAUCUUAUUAACUCUAGGUUCAACAACACUAAGUUCAUUGUCAACCUAGGUUUACCAACACUAGGUUCGAUAUCGAUUUACCUAGACCUUGAAUCUAGGUUCAUUAUGUUCAACCUAUGUUCACGACACUAGGUUAAUGCCACUCGAUCUAGCCUAGGUUCACGACACUAGGUUUAACAUCAUUCAUAUUCAUCCUAGGUUCUUGACCCUAGGUUCAUAUUCGACCUAUGUUAAUUACACUAGGUUCGGUGCCACUCUAUCUAGUUGUCCCUAAUUGUCCACAUCGAGUUUCUAUAAUUACAUAACCUC